rnacentral:rRNA from 1 species
UUCCGCCUGAUUACCAAAAAACAUCGCUUCUUGAAUUCCAUAAGAGGUCUAGCCUGCCCAGUGAUAUAAUUAAACGGCCGCGGUACCCUGACCGUGCGAAGGUAGCAUAAUCACUUGUUCUCUAAAUAGGGACUCGUAUCAACGGCGCCACGAGGGUUAUACUGUCUCCCCUCUCUAAUCAGUGAAACUGACUUCCCCGUGAAGAGGCGGGGAUAAAAAUACAAGACGAGAAGACCCCAUGGAGCUUUAAACCCAAUGACAACCUCCCUAAAUAAACCCACAAAAUAUAGAAAUCCUGUCCAUUGGUUUUAGGUUGGGGUGACCACGGAGUACAACUAAACCUCCAUGAUGAACGGACUUUCAACCUAAUCCAAGAGCUACCGCUCUAAGAAUUAACAACUUAACAUAACAUGAUCCGGCAACCGAUCAACGAACCAAGUUACCCUGGGGAUAACAGCGCAAUCCAUUUCAAGAGCCCCUAUCGACAAAUGGGUUUACGACCUCGAUGUUGGAUCAGGGUAUCCCAGUGGUGCAGCCGCUACUAAAGGUUUGUUUGUCCAACAAUUAAAACCCUACGUGAUCUGAGUUCAGACCGGA